rnacentral:rRNA from 1 species
AGUGAACGCUGGCGGUAGGCCUAACACAUGCAAGUCGAACGGCAGCACAGUAAGAGCUUGCUCUUACGGGUGGCGAGUGGCGGACGGGUGAUGAAUACAUCGGAAUCUACUUUUUCGUGGGGGAUAACGUAGGGAAACUUACGCUAAUACCGCAUACGACCUACGGGUGAAAGCAGGGGAUCUUCGGACCUUGCGCGAUUGAAUGAGCCGAUGUCGGAUUAGCUAGUUGGCGGGGUAAAGGCCCACCAAGGCGACGAUCCGUAGCUGGUCUGAGAGGAUGAUCAGCCACACUGGAACUGAGACACGGUCCAGACUCCUACGGGAGGCAGCAGUGGGGAAUAUUGGACAAUGGGCGCAAGUCUGAUCCAGCCAUACCGCGUGGGUGAAGAAGGCCUUCGGGUUGUAAAGCCGUUUUGUUGGGAAAGAAAAGCAGCAGGUUAAUACCCCGCUGUUCUGACGGUACCCAAAGAAUAAGCACCGGCUAACUUCGUG